rnacentral:rRNA from 1 species
CCUACGGGAGGCAGCAGUGAGGAAUAUUGGUCAAUGGGCGUAAGCCUGAACCAGCCAAGUCGCGUGAGGGAUGAAGGUUCUAUGGAUCGUAAACCUCUUUUAUAAGGGCAUAAAGUGUGGGACGUGUCCUGUUUUGUAUGUACCUUAUGAAUAAGGAUCGGCUAACUCCGUGCCAGCAGCCGCGGUAAUACGGAGGAUCCGAGCGUUAUCCGGAUUUAUUGGGUUUAAAGGGUGCGUAGGCGGCCUUUUAAGUCAGCGGUGAAAGUCUGUGGCUCAACCAUAGAAUUGCCGUUGAAACUGGGAGGCUUGAGUAUGUUAGAGGCAGGCGGAAUGCGUAGUGUAGCGGUGAAAUGCUUAGAUAUCACGCAGAACCCCAGUGGCGAAGGCAGCCUGCCAGGCCAUGACUGACGCUGAUGCGCGAAAGCGUGGGGAUCAAACAGGAUUAGAUACCCCUGUAGUC